UACGGAGGGUGCGAGCGUUAAUCGGAAUUACUGGGCGUAAAGCGCAUGCAGGCGGCCUAUUAAGUCAGAUGUGAAAGCCCGGAGCUCAACUCCGGAAGGUCAUUUGAAACUGAUAGGCUAGAGUCUUGUAGAGGGGGGUAGAAUUUCAGGUGUAGCGGUGAAAUGCGUAGAGAUCUGAAGGAAUACCAGUGGCGAAGGCGGCCCCCUGGACAAAGACUGACGCUCAGAUGCGAAAGCGUGGGUAGCAAACGGG
rnacentral:rRNA from 1 species